rfam:Gossypium raimondii Chr05_contig_30, whole genome shotgun sequence.
UGUUAAAAAUUACAUCCAUUUGUACUGUUAAAAACUAGUGUGCCGACGAAAUAACCAGACAGCGACACAUGAUGUGCCCUGUAUACCUUAUGUUGUUCUACAGAGACCAGUUUUUAACAGUAGAAAUGAAUGGAAUUUUUAAUA